ACUCAGAGGUCACUCUGCCUUCACUGUCGCAGGGAUGCUGUGCUGGAGCAAAAUACCAGAGAGAGAAACCUCAGUUCACUCCCCUGCGCCCAGGCAGAGUUAACUGCACAACAAAAACAUGACGGGCGGCAGUGUAGUACAACGGGCACCUGUGAGCAAUACAACAAUGAGCAGCGCGGGAGCAGGGUAGGGGUGAAGCUGUAAACACCACUGAGCGGACCAGCCAGUCAUUCCUGGAGGCACGUCCCCCCUCCACUGACACGGAAGGAGAGAUACACAACCUUCAAGCCAGAAGAAUGGGGACUUUUCCAGAAGUUAGUCGGACUAGUCGGCAGCCAUUGGACGUCCUCGGUCCCAGCUGCGCAGCCGAAGAUUCGGAAUGACACACAAGGAAGAGGGGGAGGAGAAAGGGCAAGGUUGGAAUAAACCAGUCUUAUCUUUUCAAAUAUAUUUUACAUAUUUUAUGUCUCUUUUUAACAUUGUAUAUUUAACCUUAUCGUGACCACUAUUUUUAGCUAUUUUUUACGUACUGUAUUUAUACAUUCCAGUGUAUGUUAAUUGUCUGCUGCUCUCUGUCCUUUUUUAGGAAAGCACUUCCAGUGCGCUUUGUGUAAAGCACUGUGAAAAUUACGCUAAUGUAUCAAAAUCUG